GACGAACGCUGGCGGCGUGCCUAAUACAUGCAAGUUGAGCGAUGAAGAUUGGUGCUUGCACCAAUUUGAAGAGCAGCGAACGGGUGAGUAACGCGUGGGGAAUCUGCCUUUGAGCGGGGGACAACAUUUGGAAACGAAUGCUAAUACCGCAUAACAACUUUAAACAUAAGUUUUAAGUUUGAAAGAUGCAAUUGCAUCACUCAAAGAUUAUCCCGCGUUGUAUUAGCUAGUUGGUGAGGUAAAGGCUCACCAAGGCGAUGAUACAUAGCCGACCUGAGAGGGUGAUCGGCCACAUUGGGACUGAGACACGGCCCAAACUCCUACGGGAGGCAGCAGUAGGGAAUCUUCGGCAAUGGACGAAAGUCUGACCGAGCAACGCCGCGUGAGUGAAGAAGGUUUUCGGAUCGUAAAACUCUGUUGGUAGAGAAGAACGUUGGUGAGAGUGGAAAGCUCAUCAAGUGACGGUAACUACCCAGAAAGGGACGGCUAACUACGUG
rnacentral:rRNA from 1 species